rnacentral:ncRNA from 1 species
UACAUUUGCAACCGCAUAUCAUAGUACAUAAUAAUCAUUAAAAUAAUAUUGGAAUG